CCAGGACGCGUCUGUGCGUACAGCGGUCCGGAGGUGGUUAAAGUGGCGGGCACUGUGGAUAUCACUGUUAAAGAGGCGGCCAUUAUAAAGGUCAAUAUUAAAGAGGUGGUCAAUGUAAAAGGGGCAGGCACUGUGGAGGUCACUGUUAAAGGGGAGGACACUGUGGAGGUCACUAUUAAAGGGGCAGGCACUGGGCAGGUCACUGUUAAAGAUGCAGUCACUGUUAAAGGGGCGGGCACUGUGAAGG